rnacentral:lncRNA from 1 species
AAAAUUUUACUGGAAGUCUCUAGUACAUAAGCCUACAUUUUGACCGUUGGGAUCUACUAGCAAACAUCCAGAACUCAUUCUGCAUUACUCUUUCCACAACCAGCAAAUGCAUAGCAUUUUUCUGCACUUAUGCAAAAUUCUGCUACACAAUUUCACAGCAAAAUUCUGCAUAAAGUGCAGAUUUCGAAAAUCACACUUUCCCUCAUCCAAUCUUGCCCAAAUCAAAUCCUACAAGUCCCAAAUCAU